CCGCCUGCCACUCACUUUCAACUUGGUUUGAAUCCCUGGCACUUAAAUGGCUCUGCUAUUCAGUCUUUGUUUUCUGUGUCUUCCCACUCUAUUUGGAAAUCUUACUGAUGACCUCAGACUGUGCACUUGGAUUUGACGCCCUGUGUGCUCCUUUCCUGUUGCCACGGAGUCAUUAGACUUGGAGCACAUCAUCUCUCUCCAGAGUUACAAUAUCUGUGCUUUCUAACCUCCUGGGUUUGGGUCUGUGCCUGCCAGACUUUCACUGUCUUCAAGGUCCUUUCAGUUGGACUCCUGAUCUUGGCUUUCAAUGGUCUGCCCCAGCUGGCUCUGUGACAGUUUCCAAUACUCAGCAGACAUGAGAGAAGGCCUCCCUUUCCUGUUACAGCUUUUGAUUGUCUACUUCCUGCCACUGAGACAUAAAUUCCACGAGUGCAGAGUUUUGUCUGGUUUUCUCAGAGUUAUAUCCCAUCCUUCUAGAAGACUGUCUGGUCCACAGGAGGAUCAAUAAAUAUAUGACAUGUGAAUGGAUAAAUGAAUGAAUAUGGAUAACCCCUGCAGGGGCAAACUGGGGGGUAAGAACGCUGCAACCAACAAUUUCCACUCUGAAAGUCACGGAACUUUUAUCCACCAAGACUGGCCCAGUGUGGUCCUUCCUAAUUUGCACUUUGAGCGUCCAUGUAUACUAUAAUCUCACUGAGAAUUUUCUAGCAAGGAAAUCAAAGUUAACUCUAGCUUACUGACAUAAUCUUGAAAACAAAGUGAAAUUUCUUUUUUUAAUGCGCAGAUCUCAGUCCAGUUAUUGACAAUGAAAAGCAGUGUGGCUUACUCUCUUUUCGUUUUUAUUUCAUGAGAAGAAGAUCACACUGUUCAGGGAUUCCAAACUCUAAAUCUCUUGAAAAGGGCAAUUUGUUUUCCAUCAUUCCUUUAUUUUUCUGCCUUUUGUAACUAAAAGUAUUCUUUAUUCUCAGUGAAAUUUUUAGGUUUGAAUCGGCCAGUUGAGAGGAGCGGUCAUCCCUCCUCCCAUUGUACAGCAUCUGGAUUGCUUCCUCUUUUUGGCUAUUAUAAAUAAAGCUACUAUGUACACUCAUGUCCAAGGUUUUGUAUAAAUCUAAGUGUUCAAUUCUUUGGGAUAAAUGCAAAGAGUGGAAUAGCUGG
rnacentral:lncRNA from 1 species